rnacentral:lncRNA from 1 species
UGGGGUGCAGAGACGUUUGCAUAUCGACGCAUAUUGGUGGAGUGUGGAGGUCCAGAGAUGUCUGGACUAGCGACGCAUAUUAUAUUAUCGUAUAUCCGUAUGAGGAGAAUGCGGGGUGUAUGGACUAGCUAUGUACCAUCACCGUAUUGUUUGUUUUGUGUGAUGCGUUAGACAUCUUGUUUGUUCAUGCUAGAACUAUGCGUACAUAGUCGUAGUGCUAUAUUCUGAGUCAGUGGUUUGCGGUUUAGCAUCCCAUACCUCACUGGGUGACUCCCCUGUUGC